GACGAACGCUGGCGGCGUGCCUAAUACAUGCAAGUAGGACGCGGUUGCGAACGGGUGAGUAACGCGUAGGUAACUAACUAUUAGAGGGGGAUAACUAUUUGAAACGAUAGGUAAUACAGCAUACUAGUAGAUGGACCUGCAGUGUAUUCGUUCGUAGGUAGGGUAAUGGCUUACCUAGGCAACGAUACCUUGCCGAACUGAGAGGGGGAUCGGCAAAACUGGUACUGAGAACCGGCCCAGACUCCUACGGGAGGCAGCAGUAGGGAAUCUUCUGCAAUGGGAGGAACCCUGACCGAGCAACGCCGCGUGAGUGAAGAAGGUUUUCUGAUCGUAAAGCUCUGUUGUUAAGGAAGCGGUACUUAACCAGAAAGGGACGGCUAACUACGUGCCAGCAGCCGCGGUAAUAC
rnacentral:rRNA from 1 species